UACGGAGGGUGCAAGCGUUAUCCGGAUUCACUGGGUUUAAAGGGUGCGUAGGUGGAUUGGUAAGUCAGUGGUGAAAUCUCCGAGCUUAACUUGGAAACUGCCAUUGAUACUAUCAAUCUUGAAUAUUGUGGAGGUCAGCGGAAUAUGUCAUGUAGCGGUGAAAUGCUUAGAUAUGACAUAGAACACCAAUUGCGAAGGCAGCUGGCUACGCAUAUAUUGACACUGAGGCACGAAAGCGUGGGGAUCAAACAGG
rnacentral:rRNA from 1 species